GCUUCCGAAGGAUAGCAGCUCAUCCAUUGGUCUUAGGAACCAAAAACUCUUGGUGCAAGUCCAAGCAGAAGCU
rnacentral:tRNA from 1 species